rnacentral:rRNA from 1 species
UGGGGGGGCCGAAGGCGGGCGAACCAUGCAGUCGAGCGGAUGAAGGGAGCUUGCUCCUGGAUUCAGCGGCGGACGGGUGAGUAAUGCCUAGGAAUCUGCCUGGUAGUGGGGGAUAACGUCCGGAAACGGGCGCUAAUACCGCAUACGUCCUGAGGGAGAAAGUGGGGGAUCUUCGGACCUCACGCUAUCAAAUGAGCCUAGGUCGGAUUAGCUAGUUGGUGGGGUAAAGGCCUACCAAGGCGACAAUCCGUAACUGGUCUGAGAGGAUGAUCAGUCACACUGGAACUGAAACACGGUCCAGACUCCUACGGGAGGCAGCAGUGGGGAAUAUUGGACAAUGGGCGAAAGCCUGAUCCAGCCAUGCCGCGUGUGUGAAGAAGGUCUUCGGAUUGUAAAGCACUUUAAGUUGGGAGGAAGGGCAGUAAGUUAAUACCUUGCUGUUUUGACGUUACCAACAGAAUAAGCACCGGCUAACUUCGUGCCAGCAGCCGCGGUAAUACGAAGGGUGCAAGCGUUAAUCGGAAUUACUGGGCGUAAAGCGCGCGUAGGUGGUUCAACAAGUUGGAUGUGAAAUCCCCGGGCUCAACCUGGGAACUGCAUCCAAAACUACUGAGCUAGAGUACGGUAGAGGGUGGUGGAAUUUCCUGUGUAGCGGUGAAAUGCGUAAAUGUAGGAAGGAACACCAGUGGCGAAGGGCGACCACCUGGACGUGAUACUGACG